rnacentral:lncRNA from 1 species
CUGCCCUGGCUUGGAAGCUUGAAAAACCUCCUGAAUUUAGGAGAGUAUAAGUAUACAGAAGAGAUGCCAGGGAGAGCCACGGGAUCCACACAGUAGGCCAGAGUCUAAAACGAAAGCGCAGGGCAAGGCCAGAUGCCGGGAAAGGCACCCAGGGGCACCAUCUGGAAAGCUGACUUGAAAUCCAGUUUUGAAAUCAUGCCUAACUGAGCUAUCUCUAGUGAUUAUUAGAUGUUAAUCUAGUUUACAAUUUAUCUAGGCUUAUUAGUUCCUCUGUGCAAAAAAAAAAUACAGAAUGCCGAGACUGGAUACAUUUAGGUUCUAAUUCCAGCCUAAGAUUAUAUCUGAAUCAAAAAAGGAUAGAGUAUCCAAGUAGAGAAAAAAGAAGAGGAAGCAAGAAAGGGAGAGAAAGAAGAAGGGUAUCUGAAAACCAGGAAGAGUAUGAAUUAUUUUGACCUUUUUUGGCAGUAUUAAACAAUAAGGCACUUUUGUUGACCUCUUAACAUGCGAUACGAGUAUAAAAUGGAAAACGUUUUGAUACACUGAAAACCUCAUAUAUUUAUAAUAAAAUAAACAAAUUUCAUUCAAUUAAAUCUUAUUAAUUCACUUAACCAAUGAUCUAUGUAAAGUAUAAUGCCAAUAGUAUCCUAAAAAGAUAACGUUUUCUUUGUAGCUAGAAUCGCCCUAAGGAAGCAUUUCUUCUCAUUUAGACAAAAUAGGAAUAAAGCACUUGUAUUACCACUUGUAUAAAUUUUUAAUACUGAAUAAAAUAUUAGUGUUUAGUGUAAUAUUGAUUCUCAACAUAAUACUCCUCCAUAAUAGCAUGCUAAUUGGUUAGAAUUAAAUCAGACAGAUUCAAAAACCCUGAGAAAAGACCAUCUAACACUGGUAAUUUUUUUUCAUUAGUUUCCAGAAUUCCAAUUAAAAUGGAAUUAUUCUGCCAAAUAAAAGGCCAUGGUACAAUAAAAGUUCCAUGUACUAUGUCAUGUGCAUGCCUUCCUCCUUCCCUGGGCUGUACCCCCACGAUGAGAUCUAGAAGUGAGGAGGGUGGGAGAGUUCCAAUCUCACAUUUGUGAGUUCCAAUCACACUGUAACAGCCUUCAAAGAGGCAGGCAGUCUCUGUGCAUUCCAGCUCUGUAAUUUCCUUCCUGUGAGACCUUAGGCAUUUUACUUGAAAUUCGUAGAGCCACAGUUUCCUCACCAAUAAUGUUAUUAGUCUAAUAGUUCCAACCUCCUGGAGUUGUUAAGGAGGUAAAAGAAAGAUCUGUAGCUACUAGAGGUGAUUCC